UCAGAUCUUAGUUCUCUUUUCUCUCUCCAAACACAAAACCCUAUCGCAGCCACCUUCAAGCUCCAGAACGCGUGCCAGCCCCCGCCACUGUCGCCACCGACAAUGACAACCCUCUCGAAGGUCUGCUCGGCCCUCUCGAAGGUCAAGCCAGUCAUCAUCGUCGGCCCUGAGUUGCAGAUUUUUUGUUUUUGUUAAGUUUGGUUCGCUUAUGGUUCUCACCAGCGUGCUUCAACUCCGUCGUGGACUUCUCUCAUCGUCGUCGCUCACGCACGUUCACUUCUCAUCGGCGUUUUUCUGCUUCGUCUCUGUUCUCUCUCUCUUUCUCGUAGCUCAGUCACUGUUACCGUUGAUUUUGGAUUCCGAUCCACUUAUUAAGCCAUGGCAAAUCCCUCACCCGGUUCAAUCAACGAUGGCAUUUGCAGACAUAUUCCUGGGUUGAACUGCAUAUUUUUUCUUUUGUUAAUCUCCUUAUAUGUUGUAUUGUGUUGUGUUCUUUCUUACUAGCAUAAAGUCACUCUUGUUAUAUGGUGGAAAUGUCUAGAAUGAGG